GAAGUGAUUCUUGCCAGCAACUGCCCUCCCAUGGGCUGUCUGGGGCAGAGAAGUCACAGCCACGAUGGGGAGAACACCAGUGCAGGACAGAGAGCCCAGCUCAGGAGGAGAGACACAGAGCUGGGGCAUCUAUCACUCGGCGCCAGCCUGCCCAUCUGCUCGGGGCUGACACUUUGCAGAGAGCGCUGGAAGGACGUCUACACUGGAAGAGAGCUUCUUUGGGCAAGAACCGGAACACAGAGAUGCCUUUGGCCCGGCUUUGACCAUGCAGAGGAGGACCGUGUCCUAGGAGACAGUAGAGCAACAAGAUGGAAGAAACCUGGGUUCCUGAAUGACAACGUGGAGCAAAGACUCUCGCCAACCCAGACUGCCCACCACGGCACUGUUUCAUGUAAGAACAUGCCCUCCCUCCAAAUCCUUUGUCCAUCCACCUGUUGAGAAAACUGAAGUUGAAAGCAGCCGAAGAAUAUGCUUGGGGAACACAGCCAUGGAGAAGCAGCCCUGGCUCUCUAGAAUCUGUGUCCUGUUUACAGGCAGCAUCCAAGACUAAUUCACACCUGCAUUCAUACCACCCUUGAAGAUGGUCCUUUGUAAACAGUAGGUGCUCAACAACUGCCACGUCCCCCCUCCAGGUCCUUAGUUUGUGUCAGGUACUCAGUCCACUGUGAUGAAGAAGGAAGUCAGAGGAUUUCUAGAAAAGAUGAAAAUUAAGCAGAAUCUUGGAGAAUGAACAGGAGCAGCCUAAUGAAAAGGGAGAGAAGGACACUGCAGGCUGGAAGACGGCAAGAGCAAAAGUAUGGGGACACACAUGACACGGUACGGUAGCGGGGGGAGCAGGGAAUACAGGCACUUGACAUUUCGAGAGAAAUAGGACCUGUAUGAGCUGCAAAGGGAGAGGCAGGGCAUGGUCUUCUGUGCCAGGUUAAGAGGUUCAACCUUAUCCUGGAGAGUUCCAGAUGGUUCUAAAGGAAUGGCAUAGUCAGAUGCGCGUCUUGUGCCACUCUGGAGGGUAGGUUUGAGUGGAAUGACACUGGAGCCAGGAAGACAAGCUAGAAAGCUCCUGCAGAAGUCCAGGUUAGAAAUCAUAAGACCCUAGAAACCAGGGCAGUGGUACUUAGGGGGUGGAGAGUAGGGGGUCAGUGCAAUAAAUAUUUAGGAAGAAGAAUCUGCAGACAGGGAGGAUUUUCUAAUAGUAUUGGUUUUCUUUAGGUAGACUAGAAAGAGACUUCAGUCUUCUUCCAGUAUGGUCAUAUGUUUUUGUAAAAUUUGUAAAAGUAAGCUAUUUUCGCUGCAAAUAGUUAAUACUGCUGGUAGUAUCAUGUAAAUUUUUACAACUAUUGUCAAAGUUGGAAAUACUUCUACCAAGUUUCAUGUAUGAACUAUGAGAUUGCAGGGCAUUUUAAGUUUUCUUGUACAGUGUCUAAUCUUAAAUACUUCUUGAAUCGAUACAAGUAUUUUCCAGUUUAACAUGAAUGUUCCGAUUGUGGUGGUGAAUUGAGUUUUGUGUUAUCCUUGUAGAUGUAAGUAUUUCAUAUAAAGUUAACAUGAAAUUUAAUAUUUUCUUAGUGUAUGCCUCUGGAAUUUACAGACUUCAUUAGGAUGAAAUACAUCAGAGAAGCUAAGAUGCAAUCUGAUACAGUGAGAUGCAUGAAGCAUUUAAUUUCACAUGCAGGCAUGCUUCGAUGUGCAGUACUCUCACAGUUUGUGCCUUAUUACACAAGAGUUUAAUAAAAUAUAUUCCCUGAAAUUGUUCAGAAAAGAUGUAUGUAUAUAUGUGUGUAUGUUAUCAUUGUAUAGGUUACCUUAUCAAGUAUAUUCUCUAUAGGAAAGAACUUUUUUUUUCUU